GCGGAAGUAGUUCAGAGGUAGAACGUCUGCUUGCCAAGCAGAAGGUCGCGAGUUCGAAUCUCGUCUUCCGCUCCA
rnacentral:tRNA from 1 species